CAAGCCCUUCUGCUGGGGGUGGCGCAGCGAGGCCUUCCCGCCCGCGGGGAGAAACGCCUCAGCGGGCCGGAGGCGUGAGGGACGUGGCGGGGCGGGCCCCCAGCACGGCUCCGGGGGUAGCAGGGCCGUAAGGCUGACGGGAAAGGCGCUGGUUUUCUUUCUGACUGGAAAUGUUACGAAUGGGCCCUAUUGUUUGUUUCUAUUCUGAUGCAAAUUUCUCCAGGUCUUGCGUUUGGAGUUGCUUUACCGCAGCCGAAUUGCUGCAAUCCCACCCACCUCCCUCAGGUGACAGGACUCUGGGUCAUGCAAAGUGCGAGCCCCCUGCGGCUUGCCCUCUGGGGAGGAAACCUUUCUGUGUCAGAUUUGCUUGGUAAUUAGGUUUUCUGAAGUUGUAAUGCACUGCCUCAUCCCUCUUAAAGCUUUGUCAGGGUACUGACUUCCAUAAUUCCCUGACCUAAUUAGUCAUGACAGCUGUUUGUUUAGCAGGGCCCCUAAUGCUACCAGAACUACCGUUCUGACACCAUCUUUUCAAAUGCACGGUUUGUUCAGAUCGGAGGGAAAAUCUUAAAGGAGUAUUAGCUUCCUGGUCCAUAUACCAGUUGUGCCUGUCCUGUUCAAACUGAGAAUAAGGGAGGUUUAUUAUUCAGGAGUUCUUAAAGUUGCAGAUUGAGCUGUUCUGCAUAAAGCGCAGGAUUAAAACAAUCUCCUUACCACUGAGCAGUGUUAUUCUGCAUCUAAGAUAUGUGUUUCUCUGCAGCCAAGCUGAACGUUUCCUUCAGAAAUCUUUCUCUUUCCCAUAGCACAGCAGUGCUCACGCAUGAGGUCAUGCCUUAUCUGAUUCAUAGAGGCUUCUGAAACCCAGCAGGAAAAACAUGAAAAACCUUCCACUUGGGUUUUCCACAGGAGUUUAGAAUAACUGGAUGCAAAAAUUACCUUAACUCAGAAAAUCCCAUCCUGACUCUGUGCAUCAUAGUUUUCUCGAUAUGCACACAUCAGUGUAUCUGCAUGACUGUAAGAUUGCAGCAGGGCCGUGAUAUGAACGCAGCCAACAGAAAUUAGACCAAGGCCACGUGUAAACGAUGAGGUUGCCACGUAAUCCUUCCUGAAGAAAGCCAGCUUGAAGUCGUUGGUUUAGGCAACAAAUCUGUGCAGCAGCUUGAAUGUCCUGAGAUAGUCAUGGUAAGCAAGCAGGGUGCUAAGUGCUGUGCUGUGCUGUCAGAGCUGCAGUGUGGUCUGAUGUAAAUUUAUGGAUUAUCAAAUUCAGUGAAGCGGAGUUCUGUGGAGGAUUCCCAAAGGUCUCCCGAGAGCCCUACGAGGAAGAAAGAAAUGGGCAAAUGCUGCCACAACCUUUUUCAUUAUUUUUUAAAUAAUGAAGGUUGGAGUAGUGAUCAACUCCUACUUGGAAGAACAGCCCCAGUGAGGCAGUGAGGGGCGUUAUGAUAAUGCUCAUACAGAGCCACUGCCUGACAGAAACGCUGGUGGGAGUCUUUGCUGCAUUGUCGUCUAUUGAAACCCUUAAAGAUGAAAAAUCUGUUGAGAAACAAACCAAACCCUUAGUGUUCAUUCAGUGCUUUUUUGCUUCUGUGUCUGACCUUUAACAAGUACUACUUGGGGAUAAUUUAUCUUGGAGAUGUGCAGUGAGUCAUUUAAUCCUAAUAUGUAACUGGAUAUAGUAAAUAUUAGUUGAAGGACAAAGCUUGCUGAAAAGUUCUCUGAAUGCAUCUCUGGAGGUGUGAACUAGAACACAUACAGCCAGGCUAUAUUCAGCUUACUGUGUUUCUGUGGGAGCUUGCAGCUUGCUGACAUUUUAGAAGUUCUAGAAAACCUAACAUUGAAGAAGCCUUGGAUGAGAACGGACUUCUUUCUCCUAUAGUGGUGUUAUGAAAUGGUUACUUCUGUGUCUGACUCUCUCUGUUCCUUUAGAGUGAUGAUCCAUGAAGAAAUGUACUGAACUACUUUACCUGGCUAUUUUUGCACACGCAGACACUAGAAGAGCAAACUUCCAAUGCUUUUCACAAGGGAAGUGUGGCAGCAACAGCAAAAUCAUUCAUUUUGUCAUAGUCAAGUGUGAAAAUGAACUGGGUAAAAAAAUAUUUUUCUCCAGUUACUGCAGGUUUGAUUUGUCUAGACAGCCCAGAAGAAAUUCCCAGUCUCUAGAACAUUGUCUCUUAUAGAGAAAAAUACUUGUGCCACCUUCAUAAAACAAAUGGAGCUUAGAGAGUGUUGAAAUUCCUAUGAACUAAGUGUUGAACUAGUGGGAAAGGCUUGUGUCUUCUCUAAGACCAUAGAAGCAGACAUACAGUUGAAGGAAUCUGCUUAUAAAGUUACUAAGGGCAGUGCUUAGAUUAAACAAUCUAAGAAUUAAUUAACACACUGCAUUGUUCUUAACCUGGUAAUGAAGUAGUCUGAUAUGUCAGUACCCUUGGAGCUCAGGGGCUCAGGGUCCUCAGCAGAAGCGGGAACAUAGUGAAGGUAUUGAUUAAAUUGAUAAAAUAGAAAUACAAUACCUGAAGAAAUACACAGUUAAGAGAAUUUCUUGAUAGCUUUUAUUAAUAAGGUAUAAUGGGUACAGUAUAAACAGGGUUAGAGUACCCUUUGCUAACUGCUAUUUACAAUCUGGAGAAAGAAUGUUUUACUGAACCUCCAGGAUUAAGUCAGGGAAGAGCUAUUGUUCGUUGUUGGCAGCCAGUCAAAAUAUGAAACCCACUCCACAUGAUGUGGAUUUGUUUAACUCAUUUUUAGGCCUCCCUGUUACCUAACAUGAAGUAAAAUACAGAGGCAUCUGAUUUGGUCUAUUACAGUCUUCUACCUCAUUUAC